UACGUAGGGUGCGAGCGUUGUCCGGAAUUAUUGGGCGUAAAGAGCUUGUAGGCGGUCUGUCGCGUCUGCUGUGAAAAUCCGGGGCUCAACCCCGGACUUGCAGUGGGUACGGGCAGACUAGAGUGUGGUAGGGGAGACUGGAAUUCCUGGUGUAGCGGUGAAAUGCGCAGAUAUCAGGAGGAACACCGGUGGCGAAGGCGGGUCUCUGGGCAGUAACUGACGCUGAGGAGCGAAAGCGUGGGGAGCGAACAGG
rnacentral:rRNA from 1 species